UGGGGAAUCUUCCGCAAUGGACGAAAGUCUGACGGAGCAACGCCGCGUGAGUGAUGACGGCCUUCGGGUUGUAAAGCUCUGUUAAUCGGGAUGAAUGGUCCUUGGGCAAAUAGUGCGAGGAUUUGACGGUACCGGAAUAGAAAGCCACGGCUAACUACGUGCCAGCAGCCGCGGUAAUACGUAGGUGGCAAGCGUUUUCCGGACUUAUUGGGCGUAAAGCGCGCGCAGGCGGAUUGGUCAGUCUGUCUUAAAAGUUCGGGGCUUAACCCCGUGAUGGGAUGGAAGAUGCCAAUCUGGAGUAGUGGAGAGGAAAGUGGAAUUCCUAGUGUAGCGGUGAAAUGCGUAGAUAUUAGGAAGAACACCAGUGGCGAAGGCGACUGUCUGGACGAAAACUGACGCUGAGGCGCGAAAGCCAGGGGAGCGAACGGG
rnacentral:rRNA from 1 species